AUUGAACGCUGGCGGAAUGCUUUACACAUGCAAGUCGAACGGCAGCACGGACUUCGGUCUGGUGGCGAGUGGCGAACGGGUGAGUAAUGUAUCGGAACGUGCCCAGUCGUGGGGGAUAACGUAGUGAAAAUUACGCUAAUACCGCAUACGAUCUAUGGAUGAAAGCGGGGGAUCGCAAGACCUCGCGCGAUUGGAGCGGCCGAUAUCAGAUUUGGUAGUUGGUGGGGUAAAGGCCCACCAAGCCAACGAUCUGUAGCUGGUCUGAGAGGACGACCAGCCACACUGGAACUGAGACACGGUCCAGACUCCUACGGGAGGCAGCAGUGGGGAAUUUUGGACAAUGGGCGAAAGCCUGAUCCAGCCAUUCCGCGUGCAGGAUGAAGGCCCUCGGGUUGUAAACUGCUUUUGUACAGAACGAAAAGGUUUCUACUAAUACUAGGAGCUCAUGACGGUACUGUAAGAAUAAGCACCGGCUAACUACGUGGCAGCAGCCGCCGUAA
rnacentral:rRNA from 1 species